rnacentral:rRNA from 1 species
CCUACGGGAGGCUGCAGUGAGGAAUAUUGGUCAAUGGUCGGGAGACUGAACCAGCCAAGCCGCGUGAGGGAUGAAGGUACAGAGUAUCGUAAACCUCUUUUGUCAGGGCACAAAGGCGGGGACGCGUCCCCGGAUGAGUGUACCUGAAGAAAAAGCAUCGGCUAACUCCGUGCCAGCAGCCGCGGUAAUACGGAGGAUGCGAGCGUUAUCCGGAUUUAUUGGGUUUAAAGGGUGCGCAGGCGGUCUGUUAAGUCCGCGGUCAAAGCCCGGGGCUCAACCCCGGCCCGCCGUUGAAACGGGCAGUCGCGAGUUGGAGAGAGGUAGGCGGAAUGCGCGGUGUAGCGGUGAAAUGCAUAGAUAUCGCGCAGAACUCCGAUUGCGAAGGCAGCAUGCCGGCUCCACACUGACGCUGAGGCACGAAAGCGUGGGUAUCGAACAGGAUUAGAUACCCUUGUAGUC